AGUGAACGCUGGCGGCAGGCCUAACACAUGCAAGUCGAACGAGUGCCUUCGGGUGCUAGUGGCGGACGGGUGAGUAACGCGUGGGAACAUACCCUUUGGUACGGAAUAGUCCUGGGAAACUGGGGGUAAUACCGUAUGUGCUCGUAAGAGGAAAGAUUUAUCGCCAAAGGAUUGGCCCGCGUUGGAUUAGGUAGUUGGUGGGGUAAUGGCCUACCAAGCCGACGAUCCAUAGCUGGUUUGAGAGGAUGAUCAGCCACACUGGGACUGAGACACGGCCCAGACUCCUACGGGAGGCAGCAGUGGGGAAUCUUAGACAAUGGGGGAAACCCUGAUCUAGCCAUGCCGCGUGAUCGAUGAAGGCCUUAGGGUUGUAAAGAUCUUUCAGUUGGGAAGAUAAUGACGGUACCAACAGAAGAAGCCCCGGCUAACUCCGUGCCAGCAGCCGCGGUAAAGUACAGUGU
rnacentral:rRNA from 1 species